rnacentral:rRNA from 1 species
CCGUAGGGUGCGAGCGCUAAUCGUCCUUCCUUGCCUUCCCUCUUUCUCCUUCUUCUUUUUCCUCAAGACGUUCAAUCCCCGGGCUUAACCUGGGAAUGGCGUUUUGAACUGGCAGUCUAGAGUGCGUCAGAGGGGGGUGGAAUUCCACGUGUAGCAGUGAAAUGCGUAGAGAUGUGGAGGAACACCGAUGGCGAAGGCAGCCCCCUGGGAUGACACUGACGCUGAUGUACGAAAGCGUGGGUAGCAAACAG